CUUAUUCAGAAUGGCUGAGGGACCGGCCCAAUGAAGCCAGACAACCGGUCUAGGAGUCCGGAGGACCUAGGUACGGUGCCAAAUCCGUCGUAGCCAUAAGGCUGCGGAAGAUGAGG
rnacentral:ncRNA from 1 species